rnacentral:rRNA from 1 species
GAAAGUAAUUAAGGGCGCAUGGCGGAUGCCUUGGCUCAUGGAGGCGAUGAAGGACGUGAUAAGCUGCGAUAAGCUGCGGGUAGGUGCAAAUAACCUUUGAUCCGCGGAUUUCCGAAUGGGACAACCCAAUUACCAUAAGGUAAUUAUCAUAUAUAUGAUAUAUGAGGCGAACCGAGGGAACUGAAACAUCUUAGUACCUCGAGGAAGAGAAAAUAAACUAAUGAUUCCCCUAGUAGUGGCGAGCGAACGGGGAUUAGCCCAAACCAAUGUUGUAUUCUGCAAUGUUGGGGUUGUAGGACUACGUUGUUGUACUUGAAUUGCGAGAAGAAUAUUCUGGAAAGUUUAGCCAUAGCAGGUGAAAGCCCUUUAUUCGAAGCAUGCCAAGACAUAGUAGUAUCCUGAGUAGCGCGGGACACGUGUAAUCCUGUGUGAAUCUGCCGGGCCCAUCCGGUAAGGCUAAAUACUCCCAUGAGACCGAUAGCGUACCAGUACCGUGAGGGAAAGGUGAAAAGAACUUCGAUAAGAAGAGUGAAAUAGAUCCUGAACCCAUGCGCCUACAAGCGGUCGGAGCAUUUUAUGAUGUGACGGCGUGCCUUUUGCAUAAUGAACCUACGAGUUACCGUCACUGGCAAGGUUAAUCCUCUUAAGUGGAGCAACCGCAGUGAAAGCGAGCCUUAACAGGGCGUUAAGUCAGUGGUGGUAGACGCGAAACCAAGUGAUCUACACUUGUCCAGGAUGAAGUUCCGGUAACACGGAAUGGAGGUCCGAACCAAUAAGCGUUGAAAAGCUUCUGGAUGAGGUGAGUGUAGGAGUGAAAGGCCAAUCAAACUUGGAGAUAGCUCGUACUCCCCGAAAGGCAUUUAGGUGCCGCGUGCAUCGAUCUCCAUAAGAGGUAGAGCGACCGAUAGGUCAAGAGGGCUUCACCGCCUAUCGAGACCUGACGAACUCCGAAUGCUUAUGGACUGCAGUCGUGCAGUAAGGGGGCGGGUGCUAAGGUCCGUCCCCGAGAGGAGAAGAAUCCAGACCGUCGUUUAAGGUCCCCAAAUUCUGUCUAAGUUAGUCUAACGAAGUCUGGUCCCCAUGACAGCCAGGAUGUUGGCUUGGAAGCAGCCAUUCAUUUAAAGAGUGCGUAACAGCUCACUGGUCGAGGGUCCGGGCAUGGAUAAUAAUCGGGUAUAAGGCAGAUACCGAAGGCGCGGGAUAGUAUUAAAAAAAGUAUCGGUAGGGGAGCAUUCCAUCGACGUUGAAUGAUAUAGGACAACUAUAUCUGGAGUUUAUGGAAAAGCAAAUGUAGGUAUAAGUAACGAUAAGGAGGGUAAGAUUCCCUCCCGCCGUAAGACCAAGGUUUCCCGGGCAAUGUCAAUCACCCCGGGGUUAGUCGGGUCCUAAGUCUCAGCCGAAUGGCGAUGGCGAUGGUAGAAACGGUUAAUAUUCCGUUACUGCUUUAAUGAGUGAUGGGCAGACGAAGAAGUGACACCACCGCGAGGCGACGGAAGUCCUCGUUGAAGAGUGUAGGAGUUGAUGAUUGCAGGUAAAUCCACAAUCAGAUCCGAACUUGAUAGUAUGGUUUUCUCCUCGGAGCGAACCAAUAGUGUGGGUAAUCCUGCUUCCAAGAAAAUGCUCUAAACAUAUUGUUAAAGCACCCGUACCGUAAACGGACACACGUAGUCGGGUAGAAUAUACUAAGGCGUUGAGAGAUUCAUGGUUAAGGAACUAGGCAAAUUGACCCCGUAACUUCGGGAUAAGGGGUCCUCAUAGUAAUAUGAGGCGCAGAGAAUAGGUCCAGGCAACUGUUUAACAAAAACACAGGGCUGUGCAAACUCGAAAGAUGAUGUAUACAGCCUGACACCUGCCCGGUGCUGGAAGGUUAAGAGGAGAGCUUAGAUGUAUGUCGACGGUUUGAAUUGAAGCCCCAGUAAACGGCGGCCGUAACUAUAACGGUCCUAAGGUAGCGAAAUUCCUUGUCGGGU